GACGAACGCUGGCGGCGUGCUUAACACAUGCAAGUCGAACGGAAAGGCCCUGCUUUUGUGGGGUGCUCGAGUGGCGAACGGGUGAGUAACACGUGAGUAACCUGCCCUUGACUUUGGGAUAACUUCAGGAAACUGGGGCUAAUACCGGAUAGGAGCUCCUGCUGCAUGGUGGGGGUUGGAAAGUUUCGGCGGUUGGGGAUGGACUCGCGGCUUAUCAGCUUGUUGGUGGGGUAGUGGCUUACCAAGGCUUUGACGGGUAGCCGGCCUGAGAGGGUGACCGGCCACAUUGGGACUGAGAUACGGCCCAGACUCCUACGGGAGGCAGCAGUGGGGAAUAUUGCACAAUGGGCGGAAGCCUGAUGCAGCAACGCCGCGUGCGGGAUGACGGCCUUCGGGUUGUAAACCGCUUUCGCCUGUGACGAAGCGUGAGUGACGGUAAUGGGUAAAGAAGCACCGGCUAACUACGUGCCAGCAGCCGCGGUGAUACGUAGGGUGCGAGCGUUGUCCGGAUUUAUUGGGCGUGAAGGGCUCGUAGGUGGUUGAUCGCGUCGGAAGUGUAAUCUUGGGGCUUAACCCUGAGCGUGCUUUCGAUACGGGUUGACUUGAGGAAGGUAGGGGAGAAUGGAAUUCCUGGUGGAGCGGUGGAAUGCGCAGAUAUCAGGAGGAACACCAGUGGCGAAGGCGGUUCUCUGGGCCUUUCCUGACGCUGAGGAGCGAAAGCGUGGGGAGCGAACAGGCUUAGAUACCCUGGUAGUCCACGCUGUAAACGGUGGGUACUAGGUGUGGGGUCCAUUCCACGGGUUCCGUGCCGUAGCUAACGCUUUAAGUACCCCGCCUGGGGAGUACGGCCGCAAGGCUAAAACUCAAAGGAAUUGACGGGGCCCCGCACAAGCGGCGGAGCAUGCGGAUUAAUUCGAUGCAACGCGUAGAACCUUACCUGGGUUUGACAUGGAUCGGGAGCGCUCAGAGAUGGGUGUGCCUCUUUUGGGGUCGGUUCACAGGUGGUGCAUGGCUGUCGUCAGCUCGUGUCGUGAGAUGUUGGGUUAAGUCCCGCAACGAGCGCAACCCUUGUUCACUGUUGCCAGCACGUUAUGGUGGGGACUCAGUGGAGACCGCCGGGGUCAACUCGGAGGAAGGUGGGGAUGACGUCAAGUCAUCAUGCCCCUUAUGUCCAGGGCUUCACGCAUGCUACAAUGGCUGGUACAGAGAGUGGCGAGCCUGUGAGGGUGAGCGAAUCUCGGAAAGCCGGUCUCGGUUCGGAUUGGGGUCUGCAACUCGACCUCAUGAAGUCGGAGUCGCUAGUAAUCGCAGAUCAGCAACGCUGCGGUGAAUACGUUCCCGGG
rnacentral:rRNA from 1 species